GGCGACAUAGCUCAGUUGGGAGAGCGCACGACUGAAGUUCAGCGAGAACCAUAUCGUGCGGUCCCUGGUUCGAUCCCGGGUGGCGCCA
rnacentral:tRNA from 1 species